rnacentral:piRNA from 1 species
UACCAGAGAUGGCUCAAGGGGCACGUUGA